rnacentral:rRNA from 1 species
GACGAACGCUGGCGGCGUGCCUAACACAUGCAAGUCGAACGAUGAAGCCGGAGCUUGCUCUGGUGAAUUAGUGGCGAACGGGUGAGUAACACGUGAGUAACCUGCCCUUGACUCUGGGAUAACUGCGGGAAAUGGUAGCUAAUACCGGAUACGACCCUCGGUGGCAUCACCAGGGGGUGGAAAGAAUUUCGGUCAAGGAUGGACUCGCGGCCUAUCAGCUAGUUGGUGAGGUAACGGCUCACCAAGGCGACGACGGGUAGCCGGCCUGAGAGGGUGACCGGCCACACUGGGACUGAGACACGGCCCAGACUCCUACGGGAGGCAGCAGUGGGGAAUAUUGCACAAUGGGCGCAAGCCUGAUGCAGCAACGCCGCGUGAGGGAUGACGGCCUUCGGGUUGUAAACCUCUUUUAGUAGGGAAGAAGCGAAAGUGACGGUACCUGCAGAAAAAGCACCGGCUAACUACGUGCCAGCCGCCGCGGUAA